AUUUUUUAACAUGUUUUUAUUAAUUUAUUUUUGUUGCUAGACGUGUAUAAUAUAGAUUUAAUAUUUGUAAUCACAAAAUGUCAUGCAACUUCAUUUUUACAUGUGCCAAACUUUACAAAGAACAUUGAUUGAAAGUAUCUAUUCACAAAGAAUAGCAUUAAGGUUCCUUUAAAAUACUGACCGAGAGUAUUCUAUAAAAUCAAAUAUGAUAAUACAAGGCUAUUUUAAUAUAAUAUAUAUUAAUGGAAAAUUAUUGAACAUAUAAAGCUUCCCUGCAUCAAUGACUGAAUGUAUUUUAGAAGCUGGAAAAUACAAAGCAAGAAUACCAAUAGAUUGAAUAUACUUGAAUAACAUGCAACCAUUGGCUCCUCUUUUUGCAGUUGCAAUCAAUGGAAACUCCCAAGCUACCCAUUUGUUAAAUCCAAUAAAUUAGUUACAACAAUAGGAAAAGGACCAACAAUGGAUACUGCAUACACUCCCCUAUAAAAGAAAAUAGUAAUAAUAAAAAUUCAAGGUCAAGGUCAAUACAAGCCAACAGAAUAACAUACAAUAGUGAAUCAAGGCAGAAAAGUAGUCUCUUUAAUAUCUUUCAAAUAGCCUCUAAAAUGAGAUAAGAUACAAAUCGGAAAAAAAAAACAUAUAGAGUGAGAAACCAAAAAGUGUUUGAAUUCAAUCAUGGCAAAACAAUAUUCACCUUGGCAUCUUUCCCCCAAUUCGUAAUGUAAGAUAUAACAUAAAUGUGAAUGAAACAUAGAAUGUUGAAUCAAUGGAGAAAUGCAUUUGCAUUGUUCAUUAGAUAAACAAAGGCAUUAAAAUUCAAUCAUGGCAAAGCGGUAUUCAUUUCGGCAUCUUCCGCCCAAACCGUAACAUAAGAUAUAGAUACAAGUUGGAAUGAAAUAUAGAACAAGAAUCAAUAGCAAAAGGCAUUUGCAUUGUUCAUUAGAUGGCGUUUGUGAAGUAAAGACACAUCCCUCUUUCACUAAUAAGCAUAUUAAGCAAAAACAGAAUGCAUAGCAGAUAUGAUACAUACAGUUUAGAAACAACUCUAUAGUCUCCUUGAGUCGAACAUGUUACACCAAACCAAGGCGGUAAAUUACCAUCACUACAAGGAUCGUCCCCGAUCCAUGCAUAUACAACUCUCUAUGCAAGUGAUGUUUUUAUCUCAUUUAAGGUUUUUACUGCAAUAAAACUAACCAAAUAUCAACCCAUUGCAUCAAAACAUAUUUAUGCUCUAUUUUAAUUUUCUUAAUGAUGAUAGCUUCAAUUCUCACAAAAUCUGUAGUAACAACAAACAUCACAUAUCCCUAAAAACCAACUUUAAAUUUCUAAUUGAUCAAUUUAAGCUGCUCCACAAGAAUUCAAGCUAAAUGAGUAGUUUGUUAAAAGUUGGCUAAAAAAGAUGAAAACACAAGUGAAGAACCAAGCAGAGCACAAGAAUUAAUCUCAGUUAAAGAACCAAAAAUACAAACACUACUGGUAAUUCGUUCAACCAGAAGCUAAGUCAUAAAAUGACAACGAAGUAAAUGUGCAAAUUGUACAAGUUCCAAAACUAUAGAAAUGCUUUGAUGGGAUAGUUUUAUUAUGAUCUGCAAAAGAGAAGCACUUACCAUUUUGUCUUGAAAUGUUCUAAUCAUGGACUGCUAUUUUAUCAAUGAUUCUCAUCUGAUUUCAUUUUAUAGGAAUAACAUACUAUGGGUAUAAUGUGUAUACACAUAAAACCAAAUAUUAAUUUUGGAUAAAGCUCUUUAAAACUUUUUUUUUUUGGUGAGAAAAGAAGCUUUAGUUUCAUCUGUUAAUAUAAGGUAAAUAAUACAUAAAGGACAUUCCAUAUGAAUGUAGGUAAAAAAAUGAGAGAGAUCUUCAACUUUGGAAGAGAACAACAUCGUCAAUAAUAGCAAAGGGACAAAAUAACAAUUGAGUGAAAAAAAGAACAACCUAUUCUUUUGAUUGCAUAUAUUUUCCUAUCAAAUUGAAAAAAUAACAUCAAUGAAUAGUAAGAUAUAAAAAGGGAACAUGUUCGGGAUUUACAUUAUGUAAUAUCUACCUGCAUAUCUGCUCAUAUAGUUCACAAUUGAUACAAGACUUGAGUUUAGAAAUUCAAUUGAGAGAACUUUACUCAUUCAAAUUGCAUCUCUACAUGCAUGUAUUUCCUCAUGAGUCGAAUAAUAGAUGAGGUGAAUUUGGCCAAUACCUGGCAUUCCUUGUGUAGGUUGGCUUUUGAAAUAACCUUAAAAAUAAUAAUUUUCUUAAGAUUUGGGCAUCGUUUUAGCAGCUCCUUAACCCUCCUCCCUUUUCCUUCUCCUGAAAAAUACGAAACGAUUUACAUAUACAAACAAAUAUUCGGUAGGGGAAAACGUAUGAACAUAUGCAGAAUCGAUUAGCUUCAGGUACUGUACUUGAAGGAAAAUCAAAUUAGAUGAAUUGAUUCAAUUUGUCUAUGAUUUUAGCAGAAUCUUUGAGAGGAGAACUUGACUCGAAGAAUGAAUUGAUCUCCUCGUGAACAGUUGCAGAAUCCAUUUUAAUUCCCCUUGGGCAAAUCAUCAGAAACAAAAAAAAAAAUCAAUCAAAAUGCAAAACAAACCCUAGUUGAAUUGAACUUACAAUAAAAUCUAGUUGAUUUGGCAUUCAAGUUGAUUUGCUUCCUUUUAGAUUGAUUUGAGCUUGAGAUUGUCGAAUGACCAAAAGAAAAAAAAAGUUGAAACUGUUGAGAAAUUUCAAUCUAAGAAAGGGUAUUUUCGGAGGGGAAAAGAAGGGUCAUUCGAUGGAGAGGUUGGAAUAGCCAUUCUACACCUCCUCCCCUGAAUGGCUAUUCGGAGAUUUUUAGAAUGAACCUGGAAUCCCCAUUCGAUGUUUUGAGUAUUCAACAAACCAAACGACUGUUUUAUCGUGGAGUUUUGAACCGUGUCAUUUGGAAUAGCCAUUCCAUUGAACCAAACAUAGUGUUAAGGUUUAAGUAACAAUUGGAUGAUCAAAGGUAGCAACUAGCUAAGAAAAAUAGUUUAGAUAUCAUUUGUGAUAAAAAAAUAUUUUAAGUAUCAAAAUAAAGAAAAAAAACAUAGUUUAGAUACCAAUUUAUAGGUUAAGUUUUUUUAUUAUAUAUUUUUCAUGUUUGUUUUAUGGUUAAUGUUGAAGGUUA
rnacentral:lncRNA from 1 species